UACAGAGGGUGCGAGCGUUGUCCGGAAUCACUGGGCGUAAAGGGCGCGUAGGUGGCGACCCAAGUCGAUGGUGAAAGCUCGCCGCUCAACGGCGAGUCGGCCACUGAUACUGGGUUGCUGGAGCACUGUAGAGGCAGAUGGAAUUCCGGGUGUAGCGGUGGAAUGCGUAGAGAUCCGGAAGAACACCAGUGGCGAAGGCGGCUUCCUGGACCGGUUCUGACACUGAGGAGCGAAAGCGUGGGGAGCAAACAGG
rnacentral:rRNA from 1 species